GAUGAACGCUGGCGGCGUGCCUAAUACAUGCAAGUCGAGCGAACGGACGAGAAGCUUGCUUCUCUGAUGUUAGCGGCGGACGGGUGAGUAACACGUGGAUAACCUACCUAUAAGACUGGGAUAACUUCGGGAAACCGGAGCUAAUACCGGAUGAUAUUUUGAACCGCAUGGUUCAAAAGUGAAAGACGGUCUUGCUGUCACUUAUAGAUGGAUCCGCGCUGCAUUAGCUAGUUGGUAAGGUAACGGCUUACCAAGGCAACGAUGCAUAGCCGACCUGAGAGGGUGAUCGGCCACACUGGAACUGAGACACGGUCCAGACUCCUACGGGAGGCAGCAGUAGGGAAUCUUCCGCAAUGGGCGAAAGCCUGACGGAGCAACGCCACGUGAGUGAUGAAGGUCUUCGGAUCGUAAAACUCCGUUAUUAGGGAAGAACAUAUGUGUAAGUAACUGUGCACAUCUUGACGGUACCUAAUCAGAAAGCCACGGCUAACUACGU
rnacentral:rRNA from 1 species